GAAAAGUGGAAGGGCUGGUGCCCUGCUGCUGCUGCUCAUCUCUGGGGUGCCUCCUAGACUGGUUCCCACACAUCAGCAUCUACUCCUCCCAUUCAGGUCCUGCUGUUGUGCUCCCUGGUGUGGGCUCCACUUCUGUGCUGGUGGCAAGCUGGGAGAGCAUGGAAGGAAUUCAGCAGUUGCACUCAGCUCCCAGUGGAUGAGAGACUGAUGAAGAGAGUGAAGCUGGCAGCCAAGUUUCCCCAGGGUGCAGGCCAGGGUGCUGCUGCGGUAAGUUCAUAAACAGGACAUGGUGUCACAUCACCUCCCUCAAGCCUUCCAGAGGAAGGUAGACGCCAAGGCA
ensembl:lncRNA